rnacentral:rRNA from 1 species
CUGAACUUAAGCAUAUCAAUAAGCGGAGGAAAAGAAACUAACAAGGAUUCCCCUAGUAACUGCGAGUGAAGCGGGAAAAGCUCAAAUUUAAAAUCUGGCGGUCUUUGGCUGUCCGAGUUGUAGUCUGGAGAAGCGUUUUCCGCGCUGGACCGUGUACAAGUCCCUUGGAAUAGGGCGUCAUAGAGGGUGAGAAUCCCGUCUUUGACACGGACUACCAGUGCUUUGUGAUGCGCUCUCAAAGAGUCGAGUUGUUUGGGAAUGCAGCUCAAAAUGGGUGGUAAAUUCCAUCUAAAGCUAAAUAUUGGCGAGAGACCGAUAGCGAACAAGUACCGUGAGGGAAAGAUGAAAAGCACUUUGGAAAGAGAGUUAAACAGUACGUGAAAUUGCUAAAAGGGAAACGCUUGAAGUCAGUCGCGUUUAUCAGAACUCAGCCUGGCUUUUGCUUGGUGUAUUUUCUGUAUGACGGGCCAGCAUCAAUUUUGGCCGCUGGAAAAAGGCCUCAGAAAUGUGGCACCUUCGGGUGUGUUAUAGUCUGAGGUCAUAUACAGCGGCUGGGAUUGAGGUCUGCAGCACGCCUUUAUGGCUGGGGUUCGCCCACAUUCGUGCUUAGGAUGCUGGCGUAAUGGCUUUAAACGACCCGUCUUGAAACACGGACCAAGGAGUCUAACAUGCCUGCGAGUGUUUGGGUGGAAAACCCGAGCGCGCAAUGAAAGUGAAAGUUGAGAUCCCUGUCGUGGGGAGCAUCGACGCCCGGACCAGACCUUUUGUGACGGAUCUGCGGUAGAGCAUGUAUGUUGGGACCCGAAAGAUGGUGAACUAUGCCUGAAUAGGGUGAAGCCAGAGG